GAAAUGAAGUAGUGAAGCUGCGGCCCCUUCCUGUCGAGAAAAGCCGCUAUCGUGUAGCAAGGGCCCGUACCGUAAACCGACACAGGUGGAUGAGGAGAGGAUCCUAAGGCCGGCGGGAGAAGUGUUGUUGAGGAACUCGGCAAAAUGACUCCGUAACUUCGGGAGAAGGAGUGCUGCGCAAGCAGCCGCAGAGAAAUGGUCCAAACUGUUUAGCAAAAACACAGGUCUAUGCGAAACCGAAAGGUGAGGUAUAUGGGCUGACGCCUGCCCGGUGCUGGAAGGUUAAGGGGAGAGCUUAGCGCGAGCGAAGGUUUGAACUUAAGCCCCAGUAAACGGCGGCCGUAACUAUAACGGUCCUAAGGUAGCGAAAUUCCUUGUCGGGUAAGUUCCGACCCGCACGAAAGGCGUAAUGAUUUGGGCACUGUCUCAACAACACACCCGGUGAAAUUGAAAUACCAGUGAAGAUGCUGGUUACCCGCGCCAGGACGGAAAGACCCCAUGGAGCUUUACUCCAGCCUGAUACUGGGAUUCGGUAUUGCAUGUACAGGAUAGGUGGGAGGCUAAGAACUCAUGGCGCCAGCCGUGAGGGAGCCGAUGUUGGGAUACCACCCCUGCAGUACUGGGUUUCUAACCUGCGCCCGUGACCCGGGCGGGGGACAAUGUCAGGCGGGGAGUUUGACUGGGGCGGUCGCCUCCGAAAGGGUAUCGGAGGCGCUCAAAGGUCUCCUCAGGAUGGUUGGAAACCAUCCAGAGAGUGCAAAGGCAGAAGGAGGCUUGACUGCGACACCGACGGGUGGAGCAGGUACGAAAGUAGGACUUAGUGAUCCGGCGGCAUAAAGUGGGAUUGCCAUCGCUCAACGGAUAAAAGCUACCCUGGGAUAACAGGCUUAUCACUCCCAAGAGUUCACAUCGACGGAGUGGUUUGGCACCUCGAUGUCGGCUCAUCGCAUCCUGGAGCUGGAGCAGGUUCCAAGGGUUGGGCUGUUCGCCCAUUAAAGCGGUACGCGAGCUGGGUUCAGAACGUCGUGAGACAGUUCGGUCCCUAUCCGGCGCGGGCGCAGGAUAUCUGAGAGGAGCUGUCCUUAGUACGAGAGGACCGGGAUGGACCGUCCGCUGGUGGACCGGUUGUCAUGCCAAUGGCACGGCCGGGUAGCCAAGACGGGAAGGGAUAAACGCUGAAGGCAUCUAAGCGUGAAGCCCCCCUCAAGAUGAGAUAUCCAUACUCGAAAGAGUGAGAGACCCCUUAAAGACGAUGAGGUAGAUAGGGCAGGGAUGGAAGUGCAGCGAUGCAUGGAGUUGACUGUUACUAAUCGGUCGAAAGCUCG
rnacentral:rRNA from 1 species